rnacentral:rRNA from 1 species
AUGGCAGCGGUAGAUUUUGAUCUCUGUUUCACGUAUGUGUUGGCUGAUUGGGAAGGGUCAGCACACGAUGCGACCGUUUUAGCUGAUGCGUUAACGCGUGAGAGAGGCUUACAAGUACCACCAGGAAAGUUCUACCUAGUUGAUGCCGGUUAUGGAGCCAGGCACGGGUUCUUACCACCUUUUCGUGGUGUGAGGUACCAUUUGAAUGAGUGGGGCAACAAUCCAGUCCAAAAUGAUAAGGAGCUAUUCAACCUUAGGCACUCUUCGCUACAGGUGACGGUAGAGAGGGCUUUUGGAUCUCUCAAGUGGCGUUUCAAAAUUUUAGAUGAUGUGAAACCAUUCUUUACUUUCUCGACACAAGUGGACAUUGUUAUAGCUUGUGGUGUUCUUCACAAUUAUGCACUAUCACAAGGGAUUGAUGAAUUCAUUACACCAGAAGUGACAUGGACCACCCAACCAAUUCGAACAUCAAGGCAACAAGCAAGUGACACUAGGGCUGUGGUAGACCGUAGGCUACAAAUGGCAGCCCAAAUGUGGGAAGAUAGACAACUCACGUAUGCUAAUCUAUGA